UAAGUCAAUAGGAGCUAAACUCAACCCUUGGCUUGUUACGUGAGCUCAAACUAGUACCUAGUGAGUGUUUCAUGUACUGAACUUGGAUUUCCGGUGUUUUUGUAACAUCCAUGUAAGGUUUCGUUCGGUAUAUUAAAUCCUAUGAAAUUAUCAAAGUGUGUUGUACUAUGUUGGACAUAAUUUUAUGUUUGGACUUGGGUGAAUGUAACCAGACUUAUACUCUCAGAUUUUGUCAUAGUUGAUGGUGUGAGGACUUAUAA